AAGUCCACCUCCUAACAACAUGGGAGGAAUGCCUUACAACAAUAGGGGAGGUAUGCCAGCCAACAACAUGGGGGGAGGAAUGCCUCCUCCUAACAAUAUGGGAGGAAUGCCGCCUCCUAACAAUAUGGGAGGAAUGCCGCCUCCUAACAGUAUGGGAGGAAUGCCGCCUCCUAACAGUAUGGGAGGAAUGCCACCGCGGAACAACAUGGGAGGAGGAAUGCCGCCUCCUAACAAUAUGGGAGGAAUGCCGCCUCCUGACAACAUGGGAGGAGGAAUGCCGCCGCCGAACAACAUGGGUGGGAUGCCACCGGGACCACCGAAUCAAGGAUGGUCUGGUAACAUGGGUGGAAAUGCUCAGAAUUUCCAAAAUCCUUACCAAGGUAAUACACAGAAUGUGCAAUAUCCGAAUAACCAUCCGCCAAAUAUGGGCGGGCCUGGUGGGAAUUACCAGUCUUAG
rnacentral:lncRNA from 1 species